AGCGAGACGGUAUUUGACUCUUGGACUGUCUUCGACUGGCAUUGGAGGGCCUUUUGGAAACUUAAUUUGAGCAGCGUCGAGGCUCCGUUGAGCAGGGUUCGGGACUCCUUUUGGCUGGAUUGAGCUUGGUGAUAGAGCCUUCCACAGCGGGAAAGGCUAGGGUUCCUGGCGAGGG